rnacentral:rRNA from 1 species
AAAUUGAAGAGUUUGAUCAUGGCUCAGAUUGAACGCUGGCGGCAGGCCUAACACAUGCAAGUCGAGCGGUAGCACAGAGAGCUUGCUCUCGGGUGACGAGCGGCGGACGGGUGAGUAAUGUCUGGGAAACUGCCUGAUGGAGGGGGAUAACUACUGGAAACGGUAGCUAAUACCGCAUAACGUCGCAAGACCAAAGUGGGGGACCUUCGGGCCUCAUGCCAUCAGAUGUGCCCAGAUGGGAUUAGCUAGUAGGUGGGGUAAUGGCUCACCUAGGCGACGAUCCCUAGCUGGUCUGAGAGGAUGACCAGCCACACUGGAACUGAGACACGGUCCAGACUCCUACGGGAGGCAGCAGUGGGGAAUAUUGCACAAUGGGCGCAAGCCUGAUGCAGCCAUGCCGCGUGUGUGAAGAAGGCCUUCGGGUUGUAAAGCACUUUCAGCGGGGAGGAAGGCGUUAAGGUUAAUAACCUUGGCGAUUGACGUUACCCGCAGAAGAAGCACCGGCUAACUCCGUGCCAGCAGCCGCGGUAAUACGGAGGGUGCAAGCGUUAAUCGGAAUUACUGGGCGUAAA